rnacentral:rRNA from 1 species
GUAGUAGGUCCCAAGGGUUGGGCUGUUCGCCCAUUAAAGCGGUACGCGAUCUGGGUUCAGAACGUCGUGAGACAGUUCGGUCCCUAUCCGCCGUGGGCGUAGGAGAUUUGAGGAGUGUCGACCCUAGUACGAGAGGACCGGGUUGAACGAACCGCUGGUGAACCGGUUGUCCCGCCAGGGGCAUAGCCGGGUAGCUACGUUCGGAUCAGAUAAACGCUGAAAGCAUAUAAGCGUGAAACUGACUUCAAGAUGAGAUCUCAAUCCCGCAAGGGUGAAGGGUCGUGGGAGACUACCACGUCGAUAGGCCGGAGGUGGAAGGCGGGCAACCGCUGGAGCUGACCGGUACUAAUCGCCCGGACACUUAAUAAG